rnacentral:rRNA from 1 species
GGAGUUUGGGCCGUGUCUCAGUCCCAAUGUGGCCGUUCAACCUCUCAGUCCGGCUACUGAUCGUCAUCUUGGUAGGCCGUUACCCUGCCAACUAAUUAAUCAGACGCGGGUCCAUCUUACAGCGAUAAAUCUUUUCCCUCUGUACCAUGCGGUACUGUGGGCUUAUGCGGUAUUAGCAGUCGUUUCCAACCGUUAUCCCCCUCUGUAAGGCAGGUUACCCACGCGUUACUCACCCGUCCGCCACUAAACUUUAUUUCAUUUGACGAAUCGCAUUCCAUAAAGUCCCGUUCGACUUGCAUGUGUUAGGCACGCCGCCAGCGUUCAUCCUGAGCCAGGAUCAAACUCG